rnacentral:lncRNA from 1 species
GUCCCUUUUCCCUCUUACCCUUCGUCCUUUUUUUUCUACUUCCUCCCUCCUUUUCUCUUUCCACUUCCUUUCUCCCCUCCCCCUCCUACUCUCUUCUUCUUUCCUCUCCCACCUCCUCCUUUUUCCCAUUUCCCUUCCCUCUCUUCCUCCCCCUUCCUUCUUCUUGAUACACACCUCUACCCACUUAUCCACCUUCCAACCCUUAACCCUGGAGGAGGACACGUGGGAGAUUUGGCCCCAGAAACUGAGGCAAAGCGCUGGAAAAGGACUCCGUUACAGAGCAGUUAUCGAAGAGCCUGGCACUUUUGGACUUAUUGUCAUUGUUUAAAAAAAAAACUUUGGAAUUUAAAUGAAGUAAAUUUCUCCCUUCAAGAGGCAGGCAACCAGAAUGAUGAAGAGCUAUGAGUUUUAGCCUGAUGAGAAAUAGUUGAAGGAACUAAAGAUUUUUAACCAGGACAAAAAAAAGAUAUCAUCUCUGACCUUCAGUAUCUGGCAUAUAAUCAUGAGGAAGAGGGUUUAGACUUGUUCUGUUUGGCCUCCAGAGGAGAAACCUAGGUUACUAAAGAUUGAAGUUGAAAGUAGGAAUUAUGUACUAGUUUUAAAGAGAAGAAAGUCUAGUUAUGAAUGACAAUUUGACAGGAAGAGCAUUCCAGUGGUAGCCUCCUAAUCAGACCAAGAAGGCCU